AGUUGACUCAUUGGAAAAGACUCUGAUGCUGGGAGGGAUUGGGGGCAGGAGGAGAAAGGGACGACAGAGGAUGAGAUGGCUGGAUGGCAUCACUGACUCGAUGGACGUGAGUCUGAGUGAACUCCGGGAGUUGGUGAUGGACAGGGAGGCCUGGCGUGCUGCGAUUCAUGGGGUCGGGAAGAGUCAGACACGACUGAGCGACUGAACUGAACUGAACUCAUUCCUAUUAUUACAUCAAUUCCACCUUAGAUCCUGGAAAUCAGGGACCUCUGUUUUAGGGAAUCUGUUAACAAAUUUUUAAAAGAAGCAAUUGAUAUUCUGAGAAGAGAGAAAAUGGAAUCAUACAAAAUUAAAACCAGUCACUGUCCACACUGCAGCACGUUCAAGGUCUGCCGAUAGCCAGGCAGCUGGAGCAGGAGAGGUAACAACGGGCGAGGCUGUGCCAGCCUGGGUUUGACUUCUAGAGAGGUGCCCAGGGAUGCAGCGGGCAUGCAGUGGCCACUUGCUUCUGCCACUAGGCCUAGGCUCAGGCCCAGGAAAGCAGGGGAGGCAUAACCCAGGCCCUGAAGCACAAAGAGUGGUGUGACACAAACAGCUUGUUAUGAUGAGUUAGGCCUGGGACUCACGGGCGAUGGCUCCCUCCCUCCUUCCCUCAUUCACCUCUCUGGGGAUGCCCUGGGGUUAAAUCUAGCAGUGAUCAUCAAAAGGACACUUACCUGGAAUUGAGAACAGAGGAGUGUCGAGGGUGGGCAGAGCGAGGCUUCCCAGUGUGGACUAUGAGGGGUGUUUUCUGUAGAGAGUUGAGAAGUAGUAAUGAAACCCCUGAAUGGCGCCUGCUUUUUAUUAUCACUCUGCACUGGCAGUUCUUAUCCAAGUCAGUGAUUAACUUUCUCCUCCUGGUAAAAGUCUUUUGCGAGUCUAGGUUCUAAAUGGUCACUGUGGUUACUGUUAAGUUUUAAUAACAGGCUAUUAGCACAGUUUAAAACUACUUUUCCUGUAAUAAACAUGGUGUUCUACAUGGAAGUUAAUCCAGAGAACUUUAUUAUACACUUGGCUCCCCCCACACACCCAGACUCAACUACAGGCAUUUUUUUCUAGUUUGGUAACAGUUUGUAACAGUCAAACUCAACUCCAGACACAGCUGGUGUACCCUCCAGUGUUCCGCACACCCCUGAGUCUGAACAGACUAAGCAGUGACAGCGCUGUGACCGUGAGAGGCGGCAGCAGAGCCCGCGUGACCUCAGGCUUUCAGCGCAUGUGCCGAUCACACUCCAGGCUCACUGGGUUCACUCUUUAUUUAUUUUUGCAAAAAGAAAAAAGACAUUACUGUGACAGAAAUAUUAGUUCAUCACUUUCCCUUUUUUUGUACUGUAAUACUGUAUUUGUUGAUUUGGUUUGUGAAAAAGUCUAUGUGAAGUCCAAUAAAGAAACUUUUCC
ensembl:lncRNA